ensembl:lncRNA
GUGAGUGUGAAGAGGUGUUUUGAGAAGCUUGAUAGAUUGAGGAGUGAAGGAAAAUGGCCCUCAUUUCUCUUUAAUUAUAGGGAAGAUCUGAAAAUGUUGCUAAACAAUGGAAAAGGGUUCAUUAAACAGGGAGACUUCAACUGUGUAAAAGAGAUGGGGCCACUGAGGGGUAAAGAAUGUCAAGAAGAGACAGAUGGGAGAAGGACAAAGAGUAGCUGAGAGGUUGAGCUUUGGAGCUGGACAUACUAAGAUCUGAAUCCCAGCUCUACCUUUUUCUAGCUGUGCAUCCUUGGGCAAAUUGCUUAACCUUUCUGGGCCAUUGCCUAGACUUUAAAAUGGGGUUAAUAAUGCUUGCCUCACAGAGUUGUUCUAAGAGCCAAAUAAAUAGAAUGCUAUGGAAUGUUCUCUCAUGCCUGACUCCUUGUGAUCCCAUGAACUGCAGGCUGCCAGGCUCCUCUGUCCAUGGAAUUUUUCCAGAUGCUGGGGAUGAAACAAAGGCCAUAGCGGACAAGAUUCCCAUUCCUCAGGAGCAUCCUGCCCACGGAUUCCUCAAUACAGCUAAGCAUGCCCGAUCAACUUCAGAGAUGUUUAUGCUACAGGGCAGGAAGCCUGACACCUCCAAACGGCUGCUGAGGUGGGGAGAAAGGCGGCAGAUAACAGCAUGGAGCCCCUUCCAUCCUCUCAUCUCACUACCUCCUUCCCCCACACAAGCUGUAGAGGGAGAGCCCUGUGAGAC